rnacentral:tRNA from 1 species
AGCGCGGUAGAGCAGCGGUAGCUCGUAGCCCUCAUAAGGCUAAGGUCGGCGGUUCGAGUCCGCCCCGCGCCA